rnacentral:tRNA from 1 species
GGGUCGGUGGCGUAGCUGGUUAUCGCAUCUGUCUAACAUAAAUUGCGCGUUGAUAACUCUCACACAGAAGGUCCUCAGUUCGAACCUGGGCCGACUCA